GUGCCAGAAAUGUAGCGGAGCAGACAUAGAAGAUGCAUCUCAUGACAAACCCCGACCUGAGAAGCUGUGGCAAAACCCUCGCAUAUUCUGAUAACAAACGUCGGCUACUAACAUGCAAAAAUCUCACCAAAUCAUUUGCUAAAAGCGACUUUCCCUUGGGUGACAAUGCUGAUUAUCCAUCUGGGAUGGACAAGUAUAGUUGAAGAAAUUAAUUUACUUUAAUUGCCGAGCCUGCAUUUCGGGGCCUGCAAAUCCUGAGGCCACGCUGCGGCUAGCCCAGUUUUCUCCUCUGGCACCAGGGCGCUGUGCCCCGGCUUCAGCACAGCCACAGGACUGGCCCUUCCUUGAGCUCCCUGACUUUUGAGGCAUCCAGCACCUGACUCCGGAGCAGCCUGGUGACUGUAGCAUACCUUCAAGAGCCGCAGCACCUUAUGCUGGGUAGCCCAAUGGGACAUCCCAUUGGAAACCUGUGCUCUCGGGUGGAAAGUCUCGUCCUGUCGCCUUUGAAAUCACAUGCCAACACUCCUGUCUAACCCAGCCAACCGGAGAAAUGAGGUACCUGCUGUUCAUGGGCACCCUGCAAUAGAUGAAACCAAGCCUGCUUCAGAGAAAAGGCCGCCUCCAGCUGCUUGCACCAGAUCUGAGGCUUCUAAUGUGAGGAAAAACACGCAGUGACAAGUGUGGAAAAGAGCAAGCACUAAAUUACUGUCAGAAAAAUAAACGGCGGAGCGCGGUGCUGCGCGGUGAUUUACGGGGGCAAUUAGCCACCGCCCCACGGAGCGGCUGAGGACAGCGGGGCCGGGGCCGCAGCUCCUCCCGCGGCCGCGCUGGGGCCGGCUGGCCUGCUCCCCCUGCCUCCCCGGGCUCGGAUCCGGCCCCGGCCCCUGGAGGGCCUCCCACCAGCCUUUCUGAAGACAAAAAAGUGGAAGCGGGGGGAGAGGAGAGGCCCCCCGAGGGCUGGAGCCCGUGUGUGCGGGUAAGGUGGCGAGUGCUGCAGAUCUGCUUGUUUAUCAUCGGAGCGGCUGGUGCCCAGGUGUGUGUGGUGAUUAAAGAGAUGAGGAAGUAAAGGUUAAAUGAAAAAUACUCUCAAAGAGGGAAACUGAAAAGUGGAGUUGGAAUUGCAGCUCUGCCUUGGGGCUGGCUGGCUAGGUGAGAAGGUGGAGGUGGCCCUGCAGCUGCUAGGCAUCUUCUGGAGGUGUCUUGGGCCCUUAGGAGGCUGUGCAACCUUGCAGUUGCAGUAGGGCCAGGUCUGCUGGUAAACAGUAGUGGAUAUUAGGCAAACCUUAAUACUGGUGUUUGACCAGGUCAAGCUCAGGAGAGAUGUUUCAAUGUGAAGCUACCAGCAAAGAAAAUACAGACAGUUCCAGCUCAGGUUUGGCCUGGGGCCAUAACUGUGAGGCCCCCAGUCAGUGUCCUGUGGGGCUUCCUGCUGGGCAGCUGAAAGUACAGUCAAGUCUCUGGGUCUGGGACGGUCUUUUGACCUGGUCUGUGAAGGUGCCUGGGAAGGGCACCUAAGCCUGGAGACCAAGGCCUCAGCUCUGCUUGAUGGCCUUCCAGACUCUGUUUUCUACCUCUAGGGACUGUGGUGACACUGCUUUGCCUCAGCUCAUGCUAUUAGACCCACUUCAAGCGUGUGGUGGUCUUGUAACUUUGUGUCAUCCUGCCUGUUGUUGAAUGUCUGGCCCAUCUAAACUUGGUUGGUUGGUGUGUGUACUAAGGCUUGUAUACCUAUUUUAAAUUCUUAAGCCUGUAUUGAUCAUCUAGAGCUUGUGAUGUCUGUCCUCUGAGCAGGAACUGGUUCCCAUCCAAGGCAGCAGUAUCUGACUUUGGAUGCACGCUCUCAUUAGACCUGCCAGCCCAGCGUCUGGCUCCUCCAAAUAGUUGGCACUUUCACCAUGGGAGACAGCCUGUCCUAGCUCAUUGCAACAGCUGGUGCCAGCCAGCUCUUCAAAGGAUUCACGCCAGCAGCAGGAGGAGAGUGCCAAUGCCCGCUCAUCAAACAGACCUGCAAUCGCCCCGUUGCUGCCAUGGAGGGACAAAGGGAAAAGCAACAGAGCAAUUCCUGCUUGACAGGGCACCUAGUGGGAAAGGCACUAGUGUGAUUCUUCUGAAGAGGAUACAGGCUGGAGAAUGAAGAGUGGCUUCAGGUCCCUGUAGCUUGCUAUGUGACCUUGGAUAAAUGCUUUUCCUUCUCUGCACUUCAGUUUCCCAGCUGGCAGGAGGAAUGUGUUGCUUACCUGUCUUUGUGAAGCAUUUGAGGCUUGUGGAUGGAAGUGAAUCCUACAAGCAAAGCUGUAGUGUUUAUUUUGGGGUCUGUCCUUGGCUUUCUCCUCAGUUUCUAGAAAUGGUUCUUGCUGGGAUGUGGAUGCAUGCACACACCAGGUGGUCCUGGUGCAUGUUUUUCCUCGCAAGACAGAUCCUGGAUUAUCCCUCAGGUUGCUAGGCUGCCUCCCAUUAAGUGAUGUGACCGGCAUUUCUCACAUGCAACACUCUUCCUCCCAUUGGAAAAACUGCUUGUUUAUGUCCUUUAAAUAAAUAUUUAAUAUCUUUCA